UGGUUAGAGCGCGCGCUUGAUAAGCGUGAGGUCGGAAGUUCAAGUCUUCCCAGGCCCACCACUUUCAUCGAGUGAGCAUUCGUCUUCUGGUUACGGGGCCAUAGCUCAGCUGGGAGAGCGCGUGCUUUGCAAGCAUGAGGUCGUCGGUUCGAUCCCGUCUGGCUCCACCACGCUUCGCCUUUCAGGCUUCGCGUGGCGCAGCCAAGCACGGUCGAAGCGUGCCCGGCGUAGCUCACUUGAGCGUAGACGGGCUGGUUGAGAUCAGCCCGUAACCAUCACCGUCCGCGAAACAUCACUUCGCAUCCUGCUAGUCUGGAUAGACAGCAAGAUGCGUGUUUUCUGACAUCGUAAAGAGGAGAUCGAUCCGAGUUGGGUCGUGCAGCAGAUUGUUGCGCGAAUCCUUCAUUAUCUCCGGAUCAUUUUCGGCGCUCGCUUUCAGCCGUGAGGUUGAAUGCGAGUUGUAAAAUGAUCCUUUUAGCGAAGCUUGACCGCCUCGCUAUCGGAACGAUCUUACGAAGCAAGCUGGUCUUUCUAGUCAAUGUCCGGCUGCACGUAGCAUUCAUCGAGGGUGCGCGCCGUAAGGCAAUCGUGCAGACAACAUUCUGCCGAGUGUGUGGACAUUGAUAAUGAGAGCAAUCAAGUGCCUUAAGGGUGUUCGGUGGAUGCCUUGGCGCUGAGAGGCGAUGAAGGACGUGCUACGCUGCGAUAAGCCGUGGGG
rnacentral:misc_RNA from 1 species